rnacentral:tRNA from 1 species
GGAGCUGUGCCUGAAUUAUAAGGGCCACUUUGAUAGAGUGAAUAACGGAGGUUAGAGUCCUCCCAACUCCU